rnacentral:misc_RNA from 1 species
GUGAGUCAUCGAAUCUUUGAACGCACAUUGCGCCUCCCGUCACAGGGAGGCAUGCCUGUCUGAGCGUCAUUUAAAUCAAUACCUCCCAAUCCUGGGCGGCGUCUUGGGCCCUCGUCGGCGUGCCGUCGUGGCCUCGAAUGCAUCGGUCUCUGUGAAUGGACGAGAUCCAUUAGGACAAAGUACCGUUCGAUGUGACCUUAAAAUUCAGACUCUGAAUUUGACCUCAGAUCAGGUAGGGCUACCGCCUGAACUUAAGCAUAUCAAUAAGCGGAGGA